GCCAUGUCUGAAAUGUCAUUCGAUUCCUUUAUACUUCUCAGGAGCAGUUAAUCAUGAAAGCUCUACCACUUGGUGGGAAGGAAGAUGGUCUAUUCUUCUGCCCAACGGAGGCCGCGUUGAGUCCUUGAUUGGGCAUGCCAUGGCAUCUGCAGUGUACCUCGUGCUGCUGGGUGGCUCGGGACGGGGUAGUUGCCAUGGGAGGCCCACUGCCUGCUGGAAGGAAGAUGGUCGAUUCUUGUGAGCCACAAACGCCCUGCAGAGUCCUGGAGUCGGUGUGGCCUGGCUUCCGUGGGGCACCUUGUGCUGGUGGAUGGCUCAGGCCGGGCCAGUUGCCGUGGGAGGCCCACCUCCUGCUGACAAGGAAGAUGGUUGAUUCUUCAGUCAGCUUAGGGCCCCUGGAGUCCUUGAUUGGGCAUGGCCUGGCAGUUACGGUGCACCCUGUUCUGGAGCAGUUUUCAUGA
rnacentral:lncRNA from 1 species